rnacentral:tRNA from 1 species
GACCUCAUAGCUCAGUUGGCUAGAGCGUUGGCUGAACUAAAGCCUUGCCCUUGCUGGCGUGGGUUAAAAUCCCACCGAGGCUG